GGAGAAGUGCCGGAGUGGCCGUUCGGGGCGGUCUCGAAAACCGUUGUUGCCAUUAUUGGUUACGGUGAGUUCGAAUCCCACCCUCUCCG
rnacentral:tRNA from 1 species